UCUCAUCAUUCAUAACUUGAAUAACAUUAGUGUCAAGUUUGGUUUUUGUGAGCAUUUAUCCACAUAAGAAGCUCACUAGCAAUGAAAACAUAAGAACAGAAUAGCAAAUAAAAGGCUGAAUCAGAUUAUUUUUGUUGUAAUGACCCCAUGUAGUGGAUUGAGUGGCCCAGCUUCCUUUACAGAGCCUGUUGUCAUACUAUCAACCAUUUUCUUGCUACAUUUGCAGUGCAGCUCCACCAAGGGAGUAUUAUCCCAGUCUGCUCCCAUGGUCCCUUCCAUCUCAUGCUUGAAAGCUUUAAGGCUGUAAUGCUAUAUUAAUCUGUGUUACAAAAUGUCACUGGUUGCAGAGUACUGGUAAUCCCACCUACCCCAGUAGAGCAAGGUGAAAGAUUCCAGCGUGAUCUGGGCUCUCAGUAUGGCCUCUUGUACAAUGACUAAAUAAAAGCCGUACAUAUUAUCUUGUCUCCAGGCUGAAACAAAAAUCUAAUGCAUCAAGAGAAAUUACAUCUUUUUUUUCUUUAAAGGUGCGCAUUCACUCUGUUAAUUGAAGAGCAGACACUGGAAAUAAUCUGAAACACAGUCACAACCAAAAGGCACUGAAGCCUCAGUGUUAUUAUGCUGUGAGCCAGCUACAAAGUACAGACCUGGAAGUCCAGGAGUUCCACUGUUGCAGUGCCACUAUGCAGACCCCCCAUUUAGAUGUAUGUGGGAAGGGAGCAGGAAGAGUUGAAGGCAGCUGCUGCUUUUUUCAGCACUUCAGAGGGACUUCUGAAUCCUACCGUAUUUUAUGCUUAGUCCUGCUUAGUUCUUUGCUCUUGAGGAAGCCAGAAGGUAGAGCUGGAACCCAGAUUAGCCCAGCAGGUUGACCUGCUGGCUCUUGCCACUGCUCACUCCAGAGGAAUUCUUGCCCAGGGUAGCAGCCCAGCAUUCCUGCCCCAGACAGGCUGUGACAUACACAGGUGUCCACUCUCCCUUUGGUGUGCUUGGGUAUCUGGUGUCAAGCAGGAACAGCUUUUGUCCUGACACUAUACUAAUGCAUUUACCCAGGUCUUUCCUGCUCUCUUCCAGAUCUGACAGCCUCUAGCUAGGUGGGGGGGAAGCUUUAGUUACACCUUUUAUGAUUCACACCUAAUUUAGGUGCAAUUAAAACAUCUAAAGUCAUGAGAAGAAUAAGACAUAUACCUUCCAAGGAAGGAAAAAGAGUGGUAUCUAAACUAUACAUUUCUAACAGGUAAUCUGCUUCUCACCAGGGUGCUUGUCAAGUUUGAGAAACUGAUACACACGUAACAGACCUGAAGCAUCAGCCUGGCUCAAGGUCACGCUGCAAGAACCUUCAUCCUUCAACAAAUCAAAUGGUGAAGAUCUACCACCAGCAGGAAAACCCCCCUUUACAGGCUGGCAGCCAAAGGAGAGAAUCUGGUGUUUCCACUGCAAAGCAUGAGGGAGCACAGAACUCUGUAGGAACUAUCCCUUUUGGCACAGGGAAAAAGGCACUGGCCCUGUCAGAAUCUUUGAUGUAAGAAAGUCACAGGAGAGAGUCAUUUAACCCUUCCUCUUUAUGAAACAGCAGUAAAAGAAAA